AGCGGGGGACGACCAGAGGACUCAUAGGUGGCGUUGAUAGCCUCGACUAUCCAACGACUAAUAGACUGCUUAGAAGCAGGAGAACCCCUCUUGGGGGGGACCAUAGCAUACAAGCAAUUGGUCUGUUUUUCUCCACAGGGCAGCUCUGUGGACGUAUGCGUCCAGUGCUCGAACUGGACACAUACAGUUUAGCUUCUCUUGGUCGGGCUCCCGAAAGGGAGGAGGACAGAAAGCCUGCAGCACUACAGGUUGUGGUGUGACAGAGGGGACCUUAGGAACAUAUCCCGCUCGAGGGUAUAUGAACGCUUUGGUCAUGCCAGGUGCAAAGUCCAGAUAUGUAGGGGCCACUGAGAGGGCCUGCAAAUCUCCUACUCUCCUCAGAGAGGUAAUGGCCAACAGAAAGGCGGUUUUGAGUGUCAGAUGUCUGUCUGAAAUAUCUUGAAUAGGCUCAAAUGGAGGUUCUCUGCAGGGUUGACCCACUCCACGUUGAAGGUCUACGUGGCGGCCAUUGCGGCCUACCACGCCCUUCUCGAUGGUCAGUCUUUGGGAAGACACCCAUUAGUUACACGUUUCCUCCGCGGUGCGCUGAGGCUGAGACCUCCAGUACGGUCCCGUAUUCCCCGUGGGACUUGGUUGUGGUGCUAGAGGCCUUGUGCAGACCUCCAUUUGAGCCUAUUCAAGAUAUUUCAGACAGACAUCUGACACUCAAAACCGCCUUUCUGUUGGCCAUUACCUCUCUGAGGAGAGUAGGAGAUUUGCAGGCCCUCUCAGUGGCCCCUACAUAUCUGGACUUUGCACCUGGCAUGACCAAAGCGUUCAUAUACCCUCGAGCGGGAUAUGUUCCUAAGGUCCCCUCUGUCACACCACAACCUGUAGUGCUGCAGUCUUUCUGUCCUCCUCCCUUUCGGGAGCCCGACCAAGAGAAGCUAAACUGUAUGUGUCCAGUUCGAGCACUGGACGCAUACGUCCACAGAGCUGCCCUGUGGAGAAAAACAGACCAAUUGCUUGUAUGCUAUGGUCCCCCAAGAGGGGUUCUCCUGCUUCUAAGCAGUCUAUUAGUCGUUGGAUAGUCGAGGCUAUCAAACGCCACCUAUGAGUCCUCUGGUCGUACCCCGCUGUUGGGAGCCAAGGAUCACUCCACACGGGGUAUGGCGGCCUCCAAGGCCUUUUUUGGCAGGUGUAUCCAUGCUGGACAUCUGCAACGCUGCGGGGUGGUCCACGCCCUCUACAUUUGCAAAAUUUUACGGCCUAGACAUGCCGGUCACUCCAGGCGCAUCCGUCCUCUCGUCCUAAGCUGUGCUCUUCGGAUACACACUAGGCAGGGGUUUGGGAGUCUGGCAGCGUUGGUACUCGUUCCCCAAAGCGCUCGACGCAGCUCGAGUUCCUGAAGAGGAACGUCUCUAGGUUACGUAUGUAACCCUAGUUCCUCGAGGGAACGAGACGCUGCGUCUCGGAGCCAUACCCCCCGGCACCCCUGCCGGCGCUUGCUGGUACUCGAAGCUGAUGCCAGCUGCGCGGCAUGUGCUUUUAUAGCUUCCUGGUCGCUUACGUCACCCCGCCCGUGACGUCACGCUCUUCCAUUGGACUGAUUUCACACGAUAUUCAGAGUCGCUCACGCUAGACGCGUUCCCCAAAGCGCUCGACGCAGCGUCUCGUUCCCUCGAGGAACUAGGGUUACAUACGUAACCUAGAGACGUUUUGUUUUAAGUUAUGAGUGGGCUAUAUAGUGAUUGCUAAAGUAAUAAUAUAGUUGCUCCUGAUAUCUGUCACAAUUCAUGGGGUGGAAGGAACAAGGAGAUGCUGGAGAACAUUCAAAACUUGACUUUAAUUCACAAAAACAAAGGCAUUCAAAACACAUGAACUUUAGGGAUAACAUUUACAAUACCAGACACUGAACUGAGAACAGGGAACGCUUUUAUGCAGUCAACUUAACAAAAUGGGACAGGAACAGGCAGGACCAAAUAUGGGCAUGGAAACACAUGGGGAGCAAAACACACACAAAACAUGGAACAGAUACUUUUUUCUUUUUUUUUUUUUUUGGUGACCAGAUACCUUGAAGACUUCACGUCAAACUGUUUUCUUCUAAGAGAGCUGUACCAGCAUCAGAAGCUGUUCAGAUACAUUGGGCACAUCAUUUGUUGGUGGAAAUACUAAUGUACCUGAUGUCUUUAUGAAAACUGCCUUACUGAUAUUAAAUGGCUUAUGACUCAAUCUUUGACUAAUUUGAUUAUUGAUAGCUACAUAUUAUAUGGUAGAAAUGUUUGAGUUCAUAUUGAGACAUUUGACUUGGUGCACACUUUGUAAAGCUGUUGAGAUCACUUCUGAAAUUUAGAGGAGACAAAUGCGAGGUAAAAAUCUGAGUGUGUGAUUUUGUUGAGAUCUUGUUUGAAGCAUUGUAAGAGACAAAUAUGAGACCACGUCUUUAGUUUAGGAGAAAAUUUUGAGCACAGUUUGUGAUGAUGAGAUCUUUUCCUCUUCUUUCCUUUAAGGAGAACAUUGUGAGAAGCAGGAGAAUCAAGCAAAAGUCUCCAUUUGAUCUUAAAGUAACCAUUUGAUCUUAAAGUAACCUAAUUUCUGUCUAGGAGAAAUGUUUAAGUUGUUGAAGAGAUCUCACUUUUAUUUUUUCUUUCUUCUGGGUUCAUUCAACAAAAGUUAAUAAUUAAAGUCAAUGAUCAAUCUAUGUUGGUCUCAUUUCUACUUCUCAUUUUUUCCAUAAACAUUGUCCUCAUUUAGAGAAAAUGUAUUGGGUUUCCCCAGAAUCUUUUUUUUUUUUUUUUGGUUCCUGUGAGAGAAACAAGAUGGGCAUACAUAAUUCUCAUCCUCUUGUGAUGUCUAUUGUCUCUCAGUCUAAUUUAAUUCCCCAUUAAAAUUAGUGAUGGUGGGCAGUGAAAGAAUCACCUUAGUUUCAGCCGCUCUCUAACUCUUCACACUGUUCACCAGCAGACUCAUUAAAUCAGUCUGACUCCUGGCCUGGUUUGACCAACCCCUUCCAAGACACUAAUGACUUUAGUGAACACUCUGCCUGCGUGAUAUAAGACUCUGAUAAGUAAUGAUGUUCCACAGAAUUCAAGUCGAGUGACAGAUUAUUUUCCACCAAAGCAGAACUAUGAACAUUGCAGGAAAUAUACCUGUAACCGAAAAAUUAUGCUUAGCUACUUAAAAAUCAGGGUUUGUAUGUAUGUAAAAGAUAUACAUCUUUUAUAAGUGUUGGUAUGCCUUCCCAUACCCUGAUUAAUGUAAUUGCUAAUCCUAAUCUAAUUUAGUUAAGUAAUAAAAGUCCAUGAUGGAUAGAAUUCUACCUGUAUUCAGCCCUCAAUUAACAUUCCUCCUCUGUGGCAUUUAGACUUUGGCUUUUGAUGGGUCGGGCUGGAUUGAGUUCAACAGAUUUCAUAACAGAGAUUGGUGUGACUGUCAGAAUUAACACCUUAUUAUCAGCCCUGACAAGCAGAGAUGAACUCGAGAAAUAAAGAAGUCUGCUUUCAAUAUGGCAAAGACACACAAAUCCAAUUCCAUGCUGUUUAUUUGUAACAGUUAGCAUUUCUUUGCAUGCCUAGAUGUUUGUGUGCGUAUAUCAAAAGAAUUGUGAGCUACUGUAAGUUGAUCAUAGAGACGGUUGGUGUCAGUGCUUCUAUGAUCUACUUAGGCUUACGAUGUUUUUGGGAAACACAGCCAUGGACUUACUCCCCUUGAUUACCAUUAUUUGCCUUUUUGACAUUUUGUGUUCUGUGCUUUUUCUUGCCCUGUGUAAAAGCUUCAUUUGACUGGAUUUGAAAGGCUUGACAGUGAGAAAUGUGCACAACAUAAUAACAGAGCACAUUAUCAGUGUUCAAACUGAGGAUGUUUUUUUUUUUCUGUAUGUAACUUUUAAACAGCUAAAAUUAAACUGUAAAAAAAAAAAUGCUGUAUAAUGAUGCAUAUUGGAAGCAGAAGUGUUUUGUUUGGAGACUGGGAUGAGGCCUUUUGUGCUGUAUAUAAAAGAAGGAAUAAUUUGAAUGCUCCUUUUAUAUUUGCUGUAACUAUGUUAAAAAUAUAUUUAGCACUGACUAACAAAUCACAUGAUAUAAAUGAAAUACAGUUUCCACAUCACUUUUUUUUCAUUUACAUACCGCCUUUACAGCAUAGGUGCUAUAAAUGUCCUGUAUGCGGAUUGUUUUUGCCUUGAUUAAGAAUCAAAUCUUAUCAAUUUAUUUGACAAUAAUAUUAAUAAUAAUAAUAGAAUUAGAACAUUUUUAAAUAUAUCAUCAACGUUACAAUUAUACCUGCUACAUUCCCCUGUUGAUGCGACAAACUGAAGACGGUCAAUCAAUACUUUUUUUCUUUCUUCUCAUUGCCACUUACAUUAAAUUAUUUUAAAUCUUCUUAUAGAAACAAUGAUGCUGAGGCAGAUCAGACAGUUGCACAGAAACUGAGAUGAUUAUGGAGUAUAAAAAAGAUAGCUUAUUUAACGGCUUAUGAUAUUGACCAGAGACAGUUAGUUGGAGGAGAAACAGGAGUCAGUUUAUUACACAUGAAACAAAUAAGGGGUUUGAAUUAUGCUAAUGAAGUGCUGACCGGCUUUCAGGGCCAUUUAGGACAAAACAUUAGUGACAGAGUCAGAC
ensembl:lncRNA